GAAGAUAUAGCUUAGUGGUAGAGCAUUUGCCUAGCAUGCAAGAGAAGCUGGGUUCAAUCUCAAGUACUGUUU
rnacentral:tRNA from 1 species